AUUGAACGCUGGCGGCAGGCCUAACACAUGCAAGUAGAACGAGUGGCGGACGGGUGAGUAAUGUCUGGGCAAAUGCCUGAUGGAGGGGGAUAACUACUGGAAACGGUAGCUAAUACCGCAUACCAUAAGAUGUGCCCAGAUGGGAUUAGCUUGUUGGUGGGGUAAGGGCUCACCAAGGAGACGAUCCCUAGCUGGUCUGAGAGGAUGACCAGCCACCCUGGAACUGAGACACGGCCCAGACUCCUAGGGGAGGCAGCAGUGGGGAAUAUUGCACAAUGGGCGCAAGCCUGAUGCAGCCAUGCCGCGUGUAUGAAGAAGUCCUUCGGGUUGUAAAGUACUUUCAGCGGGGAGGCGUUACCCGCAGAAGAAGCACCGGCUAACUCCGUGCCAGCAGCCGCGGUAAUUC
rnacentral:rRNA from 1 species